UAACAGGGAAGAACCUUACCAAGGCUUGACAUACACGAGAACGGGCCAGAAAUGGUCAACUCUUUGGACACUCAUGAACAGGUGGUGCAUGGUUGUCGUCAGCUCGUGUCGUGAGAUGUUGGGUUAAGUCCCGCAACGAGCGCAACCCUCGUUCUAUGUUGCCAGCGCGUAAUGGCGGGAACUCAUAGGAGACUGCCGGGGUCAACUCGGAGGAAGGUGGGGAUGACGUCAAAUCAUCAUGCCCCUUAUGUCUUGGGCUUCACGCAUGCUACAAUGGUCGGUACAAAGGGCUGAAAUACCGUAAGGUGGAGCGAAUCCCAAAAAGCCGGUCUCAGUUCGGAUUGAGGUCUGCAACUCGACCUCAUGAAAUCGGAGUCGCUAGUAAUCGCAGAUCAGCA
rnacentral:rRNA from 1 species